UCUCCGUAGGUGAACCUGCGGAGGGAUCAUUACUGAGUGAGGGCCUUCGGGCUCGACCUCCAACCCUUUGUGAACACAACUUGUUGCUUCGGGGGCGACCCUGCCGACGACUUCGUCGCCGGGCGCCCCCGGAGGUCUUCUAAACACUGCAUCUUUGCGUCGGAGUUUAAACAAAUUAAACAAAACUUUCAACAACGGAUCUCUUGGUUCUGGCAUCGAUGAAGAACGCAGC
rnacentral:misc_RNA from 1 species